AGUAAAAGUCGUAACAAGGUCUCCGUAGGUGAACCUGCGGAGGGAUCAUUACAAAAAGUACACCCGUCUCCGGACGGGUUGCUACCAACACCCUUUGUUUUCCAAACCUCGUUGCCUCCGGGGCGACCCUGACCUUCGGGUCACGGGGGACCCCGGGUGGACAUUCAAACUCUGCGUAACUCUGUAGUCUGAGUAAAACAAGUUAAUAAAUUAAAACUUUCAACAACGGAUCUCUUGGUUCUGGCAUCGAUGAAGAACGCAGCGAAAUGCGAUAAGUAAUGUGAAUUGCAGAAUUCAGUGAAUCAUCGAAUCUUUGAACGCACAUUGCGCCCCGUGGUAUUCCGCGGGGCAUGCCUGUUCGAGCGUCAUUUCACCACUCAAGCCUCGCUUGGUAUUGGGCGACGCGGUCCGCCGCGCGCCUUAAAUCGACCGGCUGGGUCGAUCGCACCCUCAGCGUUGUGGAAACUAUUCGCUAAAGGAGUUGUGGUCGGUCACGCCGUGAAACAAACCAAUUUUCAAUGGUUGACCUCGGAUCAGGUAGGGAUACCCGCUGAACUUAAGCAUAUCAAUAAGCGGAGGAAAAGAAACCAACAGGGAUUGCCCCAGUAACG
rnacentral:rRNA from 1 species